rnacentral:rRNA from 1 species
UACGUAGGGACCGAGCGUUGUCCGGAAUUACUGGGCGUAAAGAGCUCGUAGGUGGUUUGUCGCGUUGUUCGUGAAAACUCACAGCUCAACUGUGGGCGUGCGGGCGAUACGGGCAGACUAGAGUACUGCAGGGGAGACUGGAAUUCCUGGUGUAGCGGUGGAAUGCGCAGAUAUCAGGAGGAACACCGGUGGCGAAGGCGGGUCUCUGGGCAGUAACUGACGCUGAGGAGCGAAAGCGUGGGGAGCAAACAGG